UACAGAGACCUCAAGCGUUAUCCGGAAUCAUUGGGCGUAAAGCGUACCGAUAGGUGGUUAUGCAAGUCAGAGGUGAAAUCUCCGAGCUCAACUCGGAAUCUGUCCUUUGAAACUGCACAACUAGAGGGGCAAAGAGGAAGCUGGAACGAACGGUGUAGUAGUGAAAUGCGUUGAUAUCGUUCGGAACACCAAUAGCGUAGGCAGGCUUCUGGGUGCCACCUGACACUGCUAGGACGAAAGCGUGGGGAGCGAAUGGG
rnacentral:rRNA from 1 species